rnacentral:rRNA from 1 species
CGGGACGGGUGAGUAAUGUCUGGGAAACUGCCCGAUGGAGGGGGAUAACUACUGGAAACGGUAGCUAAUACCGCAUAACGUCGCAAGACCAAAGAGGGGGACCUUCGGGCCUCUUGCCAUCGGAUGUGCCCAGAUGAGAUUAGCUAGUAGGUGGGGUAACGGCUCACCUAGGCGACGAUCCCUAGCUGGUCUGAGAGGAUGACCAGCCACACUGGAACUGAGACACGGUCCAG